GACAGAGGGUGCAAACGUUGCUCGGAAUUACUGGGCGUAAAGCGCGUGUAGGCGGACCACCAAGUCGGACGUGAAAGCCCUGAGCUCAACUCAGGAGCUGCAUCCGAAACUGGCGGUCUGGAGUAGUGGAGAGGAAAGCAGAAUUCCUGGUGUAGAGGUGAAAUUCGUAGAUAUCAGGAGGAACACCGGUGGCGAAGGCGGCUUUCUGGACACUUACUGACGCUGAGACGCGAAAGCGUGGGGAGCAAACAGG
rnacentral:rRNA from 1 species